rnacentral:rRNA from 1 species
AUUGAACGCUGGCGGCAGGCCUAACACAUGCAAGUCGAGCGGAGCGGCGGACGGGUGAGUAAUGCCUAGGAAUCUGCCUGGUAGUGGGGGAUAACGUCCGGAAACGGGCGCUAAUACCGCAUACUCUCAGAUGAGCCUAGGUCGGAUUAGCUAGUUGGUGGGGUAAAGGCCUACCAGGGCGACGAUCCGUACCUGGUCUGAGAGGAUGAUCAGUCAAACUGGAACUGAGAAACGGUCCAGACCCCUAAGGGAGGAAGCAGUGGGAAAUAUUGGACAAGGGGCGAAAGCCUGAGCCAGCAAGGCCGCGUGUGUGAAGAAGGUCUGCGGAUUGUAAAGCACUUUAAGCGGGGAGGCGGUACCAAAAGAAUAAGCACCGGCUAACUUCGUGCCAGCAGCCGCGGUAAUUC